CCAGUGAGAGGAAGGACCCAGAGGCUAGAGGUCAUUCCUCUGGUGCGGAGAGGAAGUAGGAUGCUGUGUCCAGAAAGGCUGAAGUUUGUCCUGCCUUACCUCACUGGUAUUCUGAGACCGACUGAAGUAGCCCUGCAAACAGGAGUGUGUGUGACUCAAUGGAGAGUCAGACUUAUACGGAAGACUUUCCCAGGGAGAAGCAGCAUUCUGAUACCUACUCCAUCCUGGGGAAGUCCUAACCUGGCAGAAGACCCAGAAUUUCUGAAGCGUUCGAGGACUGUUGUGCUUUGUCCUGUCUCCGCCCCGGCGAGCAUCUUUCUAGACAGACGUGGUGAAGUAGAGAGAUAGCCUCCACCCAGAGUCAAAGCUUGUGGAGUCUUGCCCUACUUUGAGGAUCGCAGAACCACACAAGACCCAGGAUGGCUUGCGCUUCCCUGAGAAAGGUGGCCUGGCCACUGUGCUUCCCAACCAUCUUUCCAACUUCCCUUCUCUGCCUAACCAUCUUCACAAGGGGAUGGAGACCUCUUCAGGUCACUGAAGAGAUGCCCAGAGACUGGUACCUGAGGGUGCUUCUUAAACAUUGCCAAGAGCUAGGGGCAUGAAGAUCUGCUCUUUGGGCUUUCUGUUUGGACUAGUUGGGAGGCCUUUAUUCUAGCCUCAGUUUCCCCAAACUGUCAAAGAGAGAGAGAGAGAGUCAUCAGCAGGGUCUGUGCAGGUUAGCAUUCUACAUGAAGGUGAGAUAGACCUACCAUGCAGACCUACCCUAGUGCCCCCAGAUGCCCCCAUGCAUACCCCUAGAGGCAGAAACAGCUGGAAGAGCAGGGUGCAGUGCAGUGAUGGGGUCUGGGUGGACUACAGAGCUGUAUCCAUUUUCCUGUAAAGAACCAGUUAGGGAACAAGACUGUCUUCCCCAUUUUUGCCCUCUAUCCUGGCUGGGAGGAGGCAGUUCUAGGCAGCAAUAAGCAAUCUGACUCCGUCUACCUGAGGAGAGCAGAGAUAUUAAAUUCAGCAAUAUUGCUUGGCC